AGGUGUUCAGCCCCUCCCGGGUGCUGCAUGCUCGUGCUACGCGGCGUCGGUGAGGAAUGC
rnacentral:misc_RNA from 1 species